AAACUUUAUUGCACCCUCUAUAUAUGUAAUCAAUCGUGCUACGUUACCAAGAUGAAAUCUGCCAAUAUCUACCAAUGAUUAUUGGGCUGGUUCACAAAGCCCACUUAUUAAAAAAAACCACAUCCUAAAUUAACCCAGGUUAAUCCCAAAGCCACUUGUUUACUCCUCUUACCCUAAUUUACCAUCUCUUCACUUGGUGUUACCGUUGAGACACACCCCAUUCCCCAACUCCACUUUCAGCGCCGCAAAGGACGCCGGAUUGCAGUUGUCGCCUGUCGCCUUUGUCAACGGAGUCAAUGCCGCCAGGAAACAAUACGCCGCCACUAACAAGAACGGUCCCACAGUCGCCCAAGUGACCCUGGCACCGCUGCAUGUUGAUGUCAGAUGGGCUUUGAAGACGCAUCCACACGUGACACCUUCAACGCGACGCCCUUUCGUAGCUCCGCCUCGAGACACGCUGCAGCGGGACUCUUCCGACCUCAUGGAGACAAUAGCAUCCCCAAAACUCUUUGCCCGCCGCAUCGCCAACCUAGCGUCGCUCCCUGUCUCGAGUUCGAGCCUGCCUCGUAGUGUGUCUUCCCUCCGACACCGGCGCAACAAAAGGAUAUCAUGAAGUUAUACAGAUUGGAAAUAAUCCUGGACAUCAUCCCAUGUCACAAAAAUACAUCCUUUGGAGAUGCCUUGCAUGCCCUUGACAGCCGUGCUCAACCUCCUAUGCGCCGCAACUAACCAAGGAACAAACGUAUGGAGGUUAGGACACCAUUCACAGCACCUGAUACAAAGAGCAUUCUACAGCGAGUUGGAGGAAAGCCGAAGAAAAGGAUAACCAGAAGGAGAUAAACAUUGGAAGAAAAAGGCUCCAUGUUACAUCUGUGUUUACCUUGAGCGGGAAUAUCCUCACAUCCUAUGCUAUAUUUUUGUUGGGAUUAGAUAUUUUACUUGUCUUACACAAUGUGACUAGUUCUUUUGGAUUCCUAUGCUGUUUACGGGUAGUUACACUUUGAACCUUGAUGUACUUAAUUGGCAAAUUGAACGAUAAUGCAUGUCCUGUAGAUAUGAAUUCUGUCUUUUGCACAUUGGUUUCGGAUAAUUUUGUGCACAGGCUAAACAACUUCGGCGUUUUGAAGUAUUUUUAUUGCCAGUGAAUAAACCUAUCGAGGUUCCUAGA